rnacentral:rRNA from 1 species
UGGGGAAUCUUGCGCAAUGGCCGAAAGGCUGACGCAGCGACGCCGCGUGUGGGAUGAAGCAUUUCGGUGUGUAAACCACUGUUGCCCGGGACGAACAUCUGGUUUCGACCAGACUGACGGUACCGGGUGAGGAAGCACCGGCUAACUCCGUGCCAGCAGCCGCGGUAAUACGGAGGGUGCGAGCGUUGUCCGGAAUCACUGGGCGUAAAGGGCGCGUAGGUGGCGCGGGCAGUCAACGGUGAAAGUUCGGGGCUCAACCCUGAAUCGGCCGUCGAUACUCCCGUGCUUGAGCACUGUAGAGGCAGAUGGAAUUCCGGGUGUAGCGGUGGAAUGCGUAGAGAUCCGGAAGAACACCGGUGGCGAAGGCGGUCUGCUGGGCAGUUGCUGACACUGAGGCGCGACAGCGUGGGGAGCAAACA